GUUCGGGGCUGUGAGAGAGUCUUGGAGUAACUCGGGGCGGAAGAUGCCGGGAAGUAACUCGGCAGAGGCUGGCGACGGAAGCGGGGAGCAGGUGUCUGGUGCUAAAGUCAUCGCCCAGGCCCUGAAGACGCAAGAUGUGGAGUACAUUUUCGGAGUCGUAGGCAUCCCCGUGACCGAAAUCGCCCUUGCUGCCCAGGAACUGGGCAUCAAGUACAUCGGGAUGAGGAACGAGCAAGCGGCUUGUUACGCUGCCUCUGCGGUUGGAUACCUGACGGGCAGGCCAGGAGUAUGCCUUGCUGUUUCUGGCCCGGGUCUCAUCCACGCCUUGGGUGGCAUGGCAAAUGCAAACAUGAACUGCUGGCCCUUGAUUGUGAUUGGUGGUUCUUCUGAAAGAAAUCAGGAGACAAUGGGCGCCUUCCAGGAGUUUCCUCAGGUUGAAGCGUGCAGAUUAUACAGCAAGUUCUCUGCCCGGCCGAGCAGCAUAGAGCGUAUUCCGUUCGUAAUUGAGAAGGCAGUGAGGAGCAGCAUCUACGGUCGCCCGGGUGCUUGCUACGUUGACAUUCCCGCAGAUCUCGUGACCCUCCAGGAGAAUGUGGCUUCUAUAAAGUACAAGGAGUGCUGCAUGCCACCUCCUGUUAGCAUGGCAGAAACCUCUGCCGUGUGUACGGCAGCCUCUGUUCUGAGGACUGCCGAGCGGCCCCUGCUCAUCAUCGGGAAAGGUGCUGCUUACUCCCAUGCAGAGGGCAGUAUCAGGAGGCUGGUGGAGCAGUGCAAUUUGCCAUUUUUGCCCACCCCUAUGGGGAAGGGUGUUGUCCCUGACAAUCAUCCAAAUUGUGUAGGUGCAGCCAGAUCCAGGGCUCUGCAGGCUGCUGAUGUGAUUGUGCUCUUUGGAGCGAGACUAAACUGGAUAUUGCAUUUUGGACUGCCUCCAAGAUAUCAGGCAGAUGUGAAGUUUAUUCAGAUUGACAUCUGCGCAGAAGAACUGGGGAAUAAUGUAAGGCCUUCUGUGACUUUGCUGGGAGACGUAAAUGCUGUUUGUAAACAGCUUUUAGAACAGUUUGAUAAAAUCCCAUGGCAGUACCCUGUGGACAGCAAGUGGUGGAAGACGCUGAGGGAGAAAAUGAAGAGUAAUGAAGCUGUGUCCCAGGAACUAGCUUCCAAAAAAUCCCUCCCUAUGAACUAUUACACAGUGUUCUACCAUGUUCAAGAACAGCUGCCCAAAAACUGUUUUAUAGUAAGUGAGGGAGCAAACACUAUGGACAUUGGACGAACUGUGCUUCAGAACUACCUUCCUCGUCACAGGCUCGACGCUGGGUCUUUUGGAACAAUGGGAGUCGGUUUGGGAUUUGCUAUUGCAGCUGCUAUGGUGGCUAAAGAUAGAAGUCCUGGACAGCGGGUCAUCUGUGUGGAGGGAGACAGUGCCUUUGGAUUUUCAGGCAUGGAAGUAGAGACCAUCUGCAGGUACAACUUGCCCAUCAUAGUCUUGGUAGUAAACAAUAACGGAAUUUACCAAGGUUUGGAUGCUGACACCUGGGAAAAAAUGUCAAGUUUUCAAGAAGCUGCUACAACAGUCCCUCCAGUAUGUCUCUUGCCAAACUCACAUUAUGAGCAAGUCAUGACUGCAUUUGGAGGCAAAGGGUAUUUUGUACAAACACCAGAAGAGCUCCAAAACUCCUUGAGGCAGGCCCUGCAAGACACAAGCAGACCCUGUCUCAUCAACAUCAUGAUCGAACCACAGAGUACGCGGAAGGCCCAGGAUUUUCACUGGCUUACCCGUUCUAACAUGUGAAUAAACUAGUUGAUGGUCUUGAGGAAUUUUCUCUUUCCUGCAAGAUUGAUUUCCUCGGGAAUUUUGUCGAGGAAUAGAGAUUGACUCACAGUAUUCUUCCACAUAAUAGCAUUGCUUGUUCUCUUGGUCCCCGAAUGUUCCUGGUGACAGCCUCCCACUCCCGGUCAAGGGUGAGUCAGGAAGCCAGGUGUGGUCUCACCCAGCUCAGCUUUGCCCCUGCUCUUGCUGCUGCAGCGUUGUACGCCACCACCGCCCGUUUUUACCCCACAGUUCUUCUGAAGCCUCCUCCCCCAGUGCCCCUGCUGCACUCUGUGCAUCUGAAACCUACAGUACUCCUGGAAGGUUAACUCCCCCACCCCCUGGGUGCGGUGCCUGUGACCCAGGUCACCGCCCUUAUCGUCUAGACCUGCAUCCUCUCGCUCCUGUUUGGUCAGCUCUGGGGUGACUCCUCCAGCCUACACCUGGCAAACAGCAGUAGAGUAUCACCGUCCUGGGAAGGAAGAGACUCCGGAGGACUUGCAGCACCGAAGGACCAGAAGCCUACCCUAAUGCCUGGGUAUUAAGUAACCCAACAGUGCUAGGGCCAGAGGCUGGGGCAGGUGAGGCCCCAAAUCAAUUGAAGUUUACAUUUCUACCUUGGCAAAAUAGAGUUGAAGAUUUAUGUCCAGUUGCCAACAAUAAUAUUUCUUUCACACUUGAGGGCUGUAGCCUAGAUUUUACACCUGUGACAUUUAUAGAAAAUAGCCCAUCACAACAUACCUGCCUCCACGCUCUGCAUCCUCUCCUCCACCUGCCCUUACCCUGCCACCCCGUGUUCCUCUCUCACAGUCUUCUGUGAUUAUUUGUACUCAGUUGUUUUUACAUGUUAACUGUGAUGAUCAACUUUGUCAACCUCAUUGGAGUGAAGGAUGACUAAGAGAUGUUUAGCAAAAAAAUGAGUAAAUGUUUAGUACAAACAAACAAACAAACAUUUUUGUUAUGUGUGUGAGUGAUAAUUUUCAGAAAAUUAAAGAAGAGAGGCAGAAGCAGGUGGAUCUCUGUGAGUUUGAGGCCCAGGACAGCCAAGGCUACACGGAGAAACUGUCUCUGACAGGCUGGGGUGAAUAAAGAGCAAUGGCUCAGCCUGUAGAGGCACUUCUACCACACUGGAUGACUUCAGUUUGAUCCCUCAGACCCAGGUUGAAGAAGGAGACAACUGACUCCUUCAAGUGGCCCUCUGAACACACACACACUGUAGCAUGCAUGCUGUGUGAGUACACACAAAUAAAUGCAAUUUUUAAAUUCCUUAAAAGUGUAAGUGAAAAGAGGAAAGUCUGUUGGCAUGGGUGGGUAUCUUCUCUCUUCUGUUCCUGAUGCCAUGAAGUGAGUUGCUUUCCCUGACCACGUCCUUCCUCCAUGAUGUUUCUGUCCUAAUGGGCCUAAAAGCAAUGGUGACAGCCAGCCAUGGACUGAAACCAUGAACCAAAAACUUUCCUCCUCUAAGUUGUUGGUCAUAGUGACAAAAGACUAACUCAGAAAAUUGAUUCUGAGAAAUGAGGCCAUUGCUGUAAGCUCCUGACCAUGUGGUUUCUAUGUUUUGUUUUUUUAACUGGUUUGAAUAAUAAAUGUGGAGAAGCAUCCAGAAGAGGUUUAAAAGGCUACAAUGGAGCCCUGGUGGGAGAUCAGGUGUAGGCUUAGAUUUUUCACCAAACCUACUUUACUUAUGGUUCUUAAAUACCUUUACCUCCCUUCCAACCCCAUCCCACCCCUACCCCCCACCCUCCCAAUGUUAGAGAGGAGAUUAGUAGAGAAAAGGGCUGUAGACCUCUUUUAUCUACUUCCUGCUAAUAAGAGUUGAUGGGGAUUACCAGACUCAGUGGUCAGGAUACCAGCAGUCCAAUCCAAAGGCCAACACCAAGAAACAACAUGAAUCGGCACAAGUCAUUCAAAGCCUCAAGACUAAGGUGCAUUGCCCCAAGACGUUCUCUGGAAUGUGUGUCUCUCUCUCUCUGCAAAGUCAAGGGUUGAAGCACGAAGAUCAGCGCAGCACCAAAAAGUGAUGUCUCACUUCCACUUCAGUCAGGAGACUAGAAUGCUGUUGAAAACAUGAACAGGAGAGUGCUCAUGAGGACCCUCUUGGGAAUUAAAGUAGAGGCUGCUCAUGUGAAAUUCUAGUUAAAAAAAAUUUCCAUGCUCCAGAUUUUGAGGCUGAAUUAUUUUUUAAAAUAAACUAGUUAAACAGGAAAUUCUCAGAAUUGAGGCUGUUGUUUAAUUAUUGCUGGAGGCUUUUAGCCAAGUUUAUAAUAAGACAAGAGCAAAAGAGGUAGCUGAAAAGUUAGACAGUUUUCUCAGAAGAGAAGCCCACGUGAUACUAGGGUCAAAAGUGUGGCCGUUGAAGAGAUUGGGGCUGUUAAACUAAGGCAAUGGUGCAUACCCAGGCAUUAGGAAAGAUGUCUUUAGCUCUUCUUAGGAAUGAGACUCCACCCGUCUCAGGUUCUCAGGUGCAAAGGUUUUAACUCAUCUCAGAGUUUGCUUCGAGAAUUGCGCUCACACAGGACCACAUAGAGAAAUGUUUCCCACAAGUGACAGUUCAUGCUGGCAAGGAUGUGGAGCAAGAGGAUUAUAGCCCUGGCUGACCUGGAGCUCACUCUGGAGACCAGGCUGUCCUUGAACUCAGAGAUCUGCCUGCCUCUGCCUCCCAAGUGCUGGGCUUAAAGGCGUGCGCCACCACUGCCUGGUAUUAUAUCUAUUAGAGAAUAACGUCUUUCAGCUUCCGGAAGUGGUUGUUUUGUUUGCUUGGUGGUGUUUGUCCUUCACCAGGGUUUUUAAGUUUUUAUCAUACUGACCCUACAGAACUUUUGUUAAAUUUGUUCCUAGAUACAUACCUGCGUCAUUGUCAAUAUAAACGUGUUCUCAGUUUUGACUGUAGUUUAUUUUAUGUUUGCAUAUUUUGUGUAUUGAUUCUAUACCUAACGAAUAUUCUCUUAAGAUGAGGUUUCAUAUAACUCAAGCUAGCCUCACCAUGUAGCUGAUGACCAUGAGCUUCUGAUUCUCCUGCCUUCACCUUCCAAGAGCCGGGAUUACAGGCAUGCACUACUAAGCCCCACUUACUCGUUGCUGGGGAGGGACCCCAGGGCUUUGUGCAUGCUAUGCGAGCAGUCUACCAACUGAGCUACAACUCAGCCCUCAGGGAAUUAUCCUGCGGCUUUUCCUUUCUCGUCCAGUGGCUGGUGCUCAAGGAGCAAUGUUCAGUGGCGUUGGCCAGCUGGUGUCCUUCUACAUGUUUUAAGAUCAGCACAUCCCUUAUCUAUGUUCCUCCUUCAGGAACAAAAGAUGGUGAGAAGCCUCCAGUGAGCACUUGCUGAGGCUGCAGUGUUUGCAUGAUUUUAGAUUUUAGAUUUGCAUACAGUUAGAUUUUAUAUGUUCUCCAAGAGCCCAUAUGCUUAAUGUCUGUAUUUUUGGGAGGUGGAGGGACCUUUAAAAGGUGGGACUUAAUUGGAGGAAGUUAGGUCACUGGGGGUGUGUUCUUGAAGGGUACAUUGAAACCCUGACCCUUCCUCUCUCUUUGCUUGCUAGUUGCCAUGAGGCCAUCAGCUCUAUUAUAUGCUCCCUAAGAGGUGUCCUACCUUGCCACAGGCCCCAAAACAGGAGGGCCCUACCAAUAUAAACUGAACCCUCAGAAACCAUAAGCUGAGAUAAAUUUUUCCUUCCUUAAGUUGAUUUCUCGGCUAUCAAAUAUCCAUCCCAAAAAUAUGUAAUGACACUGGGAAUGAUUGUCUACCAUUCCUAGGCAGGAUAAACUACAAUAAUUGUGUUUUGUUUGUUUGUUGUUUUUUCAAGACAGGGUUUCUCUGUGUAGGCUUAGCUGUCCUGGACUUGAUUUGUAGUCCAGGCUGGCCUUGAACUCACAGAUAUCCACCUGCCCCUGCCUCCCCAAGUGCUGGGAUUACAGGUACAGGCAUGUGCCACUGCACCCAGAUUACAAUAAUUUUUAAAUUUUGAUCAUUGAUAAAGUGAUAGUCAAUGAUUUGUUACUUAAACUGCCUUCCUUCCAAACAUUGAGGCAGCAAUAAAGGCAAACAUUGAAACA